GAUGAACGCUGGCGGCGUGCCUAAUACAUGCAAGUCGAGCGAACAGACGAGGAGCUUGCUCCUCUGACGUUAGCGGCGGACGGGUGAGUAACACGUGGAUAACCUACCUAUAAGACUGGGAUAACUUCGGGAAACCGGAGCUAAUACCGGAUAAUAUAUUUAACCGCAUGGUUCAAUAGUGAAAGACGGUUUUGCUGUCACUUAUAGAUGGAUCCGCGCCGCAUUAGCUAGUUGGUAAGGUAACGGCUUACCAAGGCAACGAUGCGUAGCCGACCUGAGAGGGUGAUCGGCCAAACUGGAACUGAGACACGGUCCAGACUCCUACGGGAGGCAGCAGUAGGGAAUCUUCCGAAAUGGGCGAAAGCCUGACGGAGCAACGCCGCGUGAGUGAUGAAGGUCUUCGGAUCGUAAAACUCUGUUAUUAGGGAAGAACAAAUGUGUAAGUAACUAUGCACGUCUUGACGGUACCUAAUCAGAAAGCCACGGCUAACUACGUG
rnacentral:rRNA from 1 species